UAUUAUAAUUUUUGAAGUUUCUGCUUCACGCCAAAUCAAGUGCCAACACAAAGGGAGCUGAGUAUUGAAUGUUGAAUGCAGGAUAGCGGCGGACGGGUGAGUAACGCGUGGGCAACCUGCCUCAUACAGGGGGAUAACACAGGGAAACUUGUGCUAAUACCGCAUAAUAUCAUUGGGUGGCAUCACCUGAUGAUCAAAAGGAGAAAUCCGGUAUGAGAUGGGCCCGCGUCCGAUUAGCUAGUUGGUGAGGUAACGGCUCACCAAGGCGACGAUCGGUAGCCGAACUGAGAGGUUGAUCGGCCACAUUGGGACUGAGACACGGCCCAGACUCCUACGGGAGGCAGCAGUGGGGAAUAUUGCGCAAGUGGGGGAAACCCUGACGCAGCGACGCCGCGUGAGCGAAGAAGGCCUUCGGGUUGUAAAGCUCUGUUCUAAGGGACGAAGGACUUGGCUGUGAACAAUGGUCAAGGGUGACGGUACCUUAGGAGAAAGCCCCGGCUAACUACGUG
rnacentral:rRNA from 1 species